UCAGUAAAACGAACCUCAAUCGGUCGAUUACACUGCUUUCCCUUUCGUUUGAGAAUUUAGUUGGAAUUUGUGUUUGAAGUGAGUGUAAACGUUUUAUCCGCUUUCCAGUGAGUAAUUUCACCCACCAUUUCUUUUGUUCAUUCGUCACAUCGAACAUUUGCGAUUAUUUUGUGAGCGUUAAAGCAGGGAGUGAACAGGAUUGUGAUUACGCCGUGAAACCUCGUAAUGGCAUCAAAAUCAUUUGAAACUGUACCACCAACUGUACCAUCAUACGAAGAGGCAAUGAAUGGCCCAACGCAGCAACUGUAUCCGAACAUUGAGCCGAAUCCAUAUUAUCCUCAAACGGUGCAGCCUCAACUACAAGUCCACAACAUUACCAUUGGCGGACUUGCAGCAACUUGUGGAUCCUGUCGAAUGCCGUUGCAUACACGUUCUGGUUAUGUAUCCACCUGUUCAACGCACUGUGCCUUUCUGUUCUGCUGUUUGUUUUUGUGUUGGCCAUGCGCUCCAUUCGUUUACUGCACGAAGAUGUGUCGUGAGCCGAGACUCUUUUGCGCCAAUUGCGGUUCACAAAUCUAAUGAAUUUCGAUUUCGUUUCACCAUCCAAAUCCGAAGAAAACGUCAAAUUUGAAUCGAAAAAAUUGUAAUUUUUCGCUGUUUUAGAAGUAAGCUCUUUUCUGUUGAUCAGAAGAACAGAAACUCUCUAGCGAUUGUGUUUUGUGACGCAGUCUCUUUCUCGUUUAUUGAUUGAUCAUCUUCGUAUACAAUCCAAUGAUUCAUGAUCGUUUUGUGAGCAUAAAAAUUUACAUUUACGAAACAUGAUUUUCAAUAAAAAUUUUGCAC